rnacentral:rRNA from 1 species
GUAGGGAAUAUUGCACAAUGGGCGAAAGCCUGAUGCAGCAACGCCGCGUGCGCGAUGAAGGCCUUCGGGUCGUAAAGCGCUUUUCGGGGAGAUGAGGAAGGACAGUAUCCCCAGAAUAAGGAUCGGCUAACUACGUGCCAGCAGCCGCGGUAAAACGUAGGAUCCGAGCGUUAUCCGAAUUCACUGGGCGUAAAGCGCGUGCAGGCGGUUGCGUAAGUUGGAUGUGAAAUCUCCUGGCUCAACUGGGAGAGGCCGUUCAAUACUGCGUGACUAGAGGACGGUAGAGGGAGGUGGAAUUCCGGGUGUAGUGGUGAAAUGCGUAGAUAUCCGGAGGAACACCAGAGGCGAAGGCGGCCUCCUGGGCCGUACCUGACGCUUAGAUGCGAAAGCCAGGGGAGCGAACGGGAUUAGAAACCCCAGUAGUCC